rnacentral:tRNA from 1 species
UCUAGUCUACUAUUUACAUAGGUCUAUAUUACGGCUAUAGGAUUGAGUUAAUAAACUCGGCUAGCU